GGGUCCAUAGCUCAGGGGUAGAGCAGUCGGCUCAUAACCGAUCGGUCCUUGGUUCGAUCCCAAGUGGGCCCACCA
rnacentral:tRNA from 1 species